rnacentral:lncRNA from 1 species
GCUGAAUCCCCAUCACACUGCUUAUACAUCUGUACAGAGCGCGUCGUAGGCGCAGGGACUCAAACAGAGACGGCUGUUUGAAUGGCGAUUUGCUCCACCGGACGUCCCUAAACACACGAGAGACAGACAUCACUUCCGGUAAAAAGCUGGUAACACAUCCGGCAUCUUCUACAGUGAGGCGGUGUGACGAGCCCCCAGAGCAGAGCAGAUUUAAUCUCUGCUGA